rnacentral:miRNA from 1 species
AAUAUCACCGGGUGAAAAUCAGGGCAGGUCCGAUUCCAGCCAUUUCCCCUUAUUCCCCUAUUAUCUGGUCGGAUCGGACCUCCACUGGUUUUCGCUUCGGUGAUAUUU